AACAAAACAAAAUGACAAAUUAAAACAAGACAAAAUGACAAACCAGACAAAAAAGACACAAAAUUAUCAAAUUAAUAUACAAAACAACAAAAAACAAGACAGUGACACAAAUGAAACACAGAAAGACACGAAAGUUACAAAAAACAACAAAAGUGAAAAACAAAAUGACCAAAAACGACACAAGUGGGACACAAAACAACAAAAUAUAGACACAAAAUGACCAAACUGAGAAACGAAACAACAAAAAACUACACAAAAUGACAAAAAACUACAAACCAGACAGAAAACAAGAAAAAAAGACACAAAAUGACAAAAAAUAUUAAAACUAUCAAGAAAAUAGACAGAAAUGACCCAAAUGUCUCACAAAUUGAAAAAUUUAGACACAAAACAACAAAAAACAAAACAAAGUGACGAAACAAAAUCACUUAAAUGUAUUUAGUAUGCCUUGUAAACUGCUUGAAAAAAUAAAAUAAGAAGCAUUUAAUGUUGAUAAAACUCAUGAUUUUUUUCUCUGUUCUUCCUCCAGAACAACAUUGCUGAUUAAUUUCACAUCUAAUUAUUAAAUACAGUAGAAAAUAAAUCUGGUUUCAGCUCCAGAGAGUCUUAAUUGAGUCUUUAAACGUCCGUUAGAGGCAAUAGAAACACUAAAAUCAGCUUUUAUCAAAACCAACACAAAGAAAAUAAUCAGAAAAUAAAUAAACGUGGAUCGUUCCAGUGUUCGUCUCGUUUUGUCGUCCAAACAGUCUUUUCUGUCCAUUAACAACCCAUCUGUUCCCUUUCACUGGUCCGGUUCUGUCCUUUAGGUCCGGUUCUGUCCUUCAGGUCCGGUUCUACCCGUCAGGUCCAGUUCUACCCGUCAGGUCCGGUUCUGUCCUUUAGGUCCGGUUCUGUCCUUUAGGUCCGGUUCUGUCCUUCAGUCCUGCCUCAGCACGGACGUUCUUUCCUCCAGCAGCCAACGAGCUGCGAUCCUGCU
ensembl:lncRNA